rnacentral:rRNA from 3 species
GAAGGGGAAACGCCCGGUCCCAUUCCGAACCCGGAAGCUAAGCCCUUCAGCGCCGAUGGUACUGCACCCGCCAGGGUGUGGGAGAGUAGGACGCCGCCGGAC